AAAGGAAUUGACGGGGACCCGCACAAGCAGCGGAGCAUGUGGUUUAAUUCGAAGAUACGCGAAGAACCUUACCAAGACUUGACAUCGUAUGACCGGUAUAGAGAUAUACUUUUUCCUUCGGGAACAUAUAGACAGGUGGUGCAUGGUUGUCGUCAGCUCGUGUCGUGAGAUGUUGGGUUAAGUCCCGCAACGAGCGCAACCCUUAUCAAUAGUUGCCAAUAUUAAGUUAGGAACUCUAUUGAGACUGCCGUGGAUAACACGGAGGAAGGUGGGGAUGACGUCAAAUCAUCAUGCCCCUUACGUCUUGGGCUACACACGUGCUACAAUGGCUAUUACAAAGAGCUGCGAUAUGGUAACAUAAAGCGAAUCUCAUAAAAAUAGUCUCAGUUCGGAUUGUGGGCUGCAACCCGCCCACAUGAAGUCGGAGUUGCUAGUAAUCCCGAAUCAGCAUGUCGGGGUGAAUGCGUUCCCGGGUCUUGUACACACCGCCCGU
rnacentral:rRNA from 1 species